UACGUAGGAGGCAAGCGUUGUCCGGAAUUACUGGGUGUAAAGCGCGUGUAGGCGGCAGGCCAAGUCUGUGGUGAAAUCGCUCGGCUCAACUGGGCGGGGUCCAUGGAAACUGGUCAGCUGGAGGACGGUAGAGGUGAGUGGAAUUCCCGGUGUAGUGGUGAAAUGCGUAGAGAUCGGGAGGAACACCCGUGGCGAAGGCGGCUCACUGGGCCGGUACUGACGCUGAGACGCGAAGGCGUGGGGAGCGAACGGG
rnacentral:rRNA from 1 species